rnacentral:misc_RNA from 1 species
UAGCAUUAGUUACGCCACGUCGCAGUCUCCAUUCAGUGCACAUUUCAAUUCGAAUUUGUAGUGUCUUUUCAUAAUCUUCUGCGUUGUUCUAUGUUUUAUUGCUUUUUAAAAUAAAUAAUUAUUAAAUAAAUUAGUACUGGGCCGAAAAAAUUCUUAAAUCCAGUUAAAUAGAGACUGUUGUUAAAUAGAGAUGAAAGGAGAAAUUAUACCUAAAUAUGAGGAUGGCGUUUACAUCUUGGAUUUAAACUAAUUAACAUACAAUACCCCAUGGUUUUAUGGAAAGGAAUUCCUCUUACUAAAGCAACACCGACACCGCAGUAUUGGUUGAAGGCGACCGCUGCAACCUCACCAGCACAGCGUGUUCCGUGCUUGUUGUCACCGUUGUCUCUUGGCAUUGGGUCAUUGUCAUUGUCAUUGAUGUCUGUGCUAGCUUGGUGAUCGUAAUUCAAAGCCAGGUCCGGAUGAUUCGUCUGUAUACCGUCGUCGAGGAUCGACACGACCACACCUUUGCCAGUGUAACCCUUUUGCCAUGCUGGGCCAAGAUUCAUAUCGUAACCAUCCUUAGCUCCGCCGUUCUGGAAUUAGUUCAGUAUUAUUUCUUGAUUAACAUGGAGUAGAGUGUAAACAAUCAAUGAUACCAUUAUAAAUGACAUUAUUCUGAAAAUAUAUGUGUAGCGGCACAUGAGUCAGAG